rnacentral:rRNA from 1 species
AUUCUCGUCAUCGUGACGUCCGAGUAUCAUACAGUAAGCAGUCAAAACUUUCAACAACGGAUCUCUUGGUUCUGGCAUCGAUGAAGAACGCAGCGAAAUGCGAUAAGUAAUGUGAAUUGCAGAAUUCAGUGAAUCAUCGAAUCUUUGAACGCACAUUGCGCCCUCUGGUAUUCCGGGGGGCAUGCCUGUCCGAGCGUCAUUACAUCCAUCAAGCUCUGCUUGGUAGUGGGCUGCGCCUCUCAGCGUGCCCGAAACACAGUGGCGGUGCCAUGAGACUCCGGGCGUAGUAAGAUCCUGCAUCCCGCCGCGGAAGCUUCUCGUCUGGCCCGGCCAGCGACAAACAUCUGAUGUCAGACUUCACGAUCGACCUCGGAUCAGGUAGGGAUACCCGCUGAACUUAAGCAUAUCAAUAAGCGGAGGAAAAGAAACCAACAGGGAUUGCCUCAGUAACGGCGAGUGAAGCGGCAACAGCUCAAAUUUGGAAUCUGGCCUCUUCGGGGUCCGAGUUGUAAUUUGCAGAGGGUGCUUCGGGUGAGGCGCCGGCCCAAGUUCCUUGGAACAGGACGUCGUAGAGGGUGAGAAUCCCGUAUCUGGCCGGCGACCGACUCCACGUGAAGCCCCUUCGACGAGUCGAGUUGUUUGGGAAUGCAGCUCUAAAAGGGUGGUAAAUUUCAUNUAAAGCUAAAUACCGGCCAGAGACCGAUAGCGCACAAGUAGAGUGAUCGAAAGAUGAAAAGCACUUUGGAAAGAGAGUUAAAAAGUACGUGAAAUUGUUGAAAGGGAAGCGCUUGCAACCAGACCUGUGUUCGGGUGAUCAACC